GCGUGACAAAUGCCACUCAUGAUUCACCUAUGUUCAAUAACACUAGGUUUCAAUGCCAUUCAUGAUUCUUGUCAUCCUAGUUAUUCACACUUAGGAUUCUUAAUUGACAUGCCACUCAAUGUUCUUAUUUUCCUAGUUAUCCAUACCUAGGAUGUAGUUUACAUGAAUCAAGCAUCCAUCUCAUGCAUUCGUUUAUUAGCAUAUACCCGAUGCAUUCAUUUAGCAUACAUCAUGCAUACCC
rnacentral:lncRNA from 1 species